AUGGUCAGCUCCUGUUGUGGUUCCGUCUGCUCUGACCAGGGCUGUGGACUGGAGACCUGCUGCCGCCCCAGCUGCUGCCAGACCACCUGCUGCAGGACCACCUGCUGCCGCCCCAGCUGCUGUGUGUCCAGCUGCUGCAGACCCCAGUGCUGCCAGUCUGUGUGCUGCCAGCCCACCUGCUGCCGCCCCAGCUGCUGCAUCUCCAGCUGCUGCCGCCCCAGCUGCUGUGUGUCCAGCUGCUGCAGACCCCAGUGCUGCUAGUCUGUGUGCUGCCAGCCCACCUGCUGCAGGACCACUUGCUGCCGCCCCAGCUGCUGUGUGUCCAGCUGCUGCAGACCCCCGUGCUGCCAGUCUUCCUGCUGCAGACCCAGCUGCUGUCAGACCACCUGCUGCAGGACCACGUGCUGUCGCCCCAGCUGCUGUGUGUCCAGCUGCUGCAGGCCCCAGUGCUGCCAGACCACCUGCUGCCGCCCCAGCUGCUGUGUGUCCAGCUGCUGCAGGCCCCAGUGCUGCCAGUCUGUGUGCUGUCAGCCCACCUGCUGCCGCCCCAGCUGCUGUCAGACCACCUGCUGCAGGACCACCUGCUGCCGCCCCAGCUGCUGUGUGUCCAGCUGCUGCAGGCCCCGGUGUUGCCAGUCUGUGUGCUGCCAGCCCACCUGCUGCCGCCCCAGCUGCUGCAUCUCCAGCUGCUGCCGCCCCUCUUGCUGUGAAUCCAGCUGCUGCCGCCCCUGCUGCUGCCUGCGUCCAGUCUGUGGCCGAGUCUCCUGCCACACCACUUGCUAUCGCCCAACCUGUGUCAUCUCCACCUGCCCCCGCCCCUUGUGCUGCGCCUCCUCUUGCUGCUGAGCCCCCUGCCCUGGCUCACCUCCCCCUUCACCACUGGCCCACAGAUGUAGACCCUUCUUCUGUGUGGCUAUGAGGACACAUGGAGUGGGGUUGAUGUCAUUCAGCAGGGUUGUUUCCAAUGAGCCCAUCACCAUCCCGCUGACUCUGUGAGAACAUUCUGGUUCAUUGUAAACUCCCUCCCUUGCUUUCUUUUUCUUCCAGUCAUGGCACCAAAUGUGAAUUAAUUUGUAAUUCACUAGCUAAGAAAUGAUUCCAAUCCUCUAAAUUCCUCAUUUUUUAAAUCAUUUUGAGCCGAUAGAGUAUCCUUCCCAAUGAGGUAGACAUUAUCUCCCUAUCAAACAUAUUAUUUGUCUGUCAGCCAUUCAGUCAUUCUUUCCUCUUGCAAAGGUAGGAGGCUCCGCCUCCCAUGCUCUCCUGCUUUCUCCCUGCUCUCUCUUUGCCUUUCUGUUUGAUCACGUUUGCCAGCAUUUUUCUAUUUUAUUAGUUCUUUAUUGUGUUCACAAAAUAUAUUUUAUUAAACUUUUCAUGUAGAAA